rnacentral:rRNA from 1 species
CCUACGGGGCGCAGCAGUGGGGAAUAUUGGGCAAUGGGCGCAAGCCUGACCCAGCAACGCCGCGUGAAGGAAGAAGGCUUUCGGGUUGUAAACUUCUUUUCUCAGGGACGAAGCAAGUGACGGUACCUGAGGAAUAAGCCACGGCUAAAUACGUGCCAGCAGCCGCGGGAAUACGUAGUUGGCAAGCGUUAGCCGGAUUGACUGGGGGGAAAGGGCGUGUAGGCGGGAAAGCAAGUCAGAUGUGAAAACCAUGGGCUCAACCUGUGGCCUGCAUUUGAAACUGUUUUUCUUGAGUACUGGAGAGGCAGACGGAAUUCCUAGUGUAGCGGUGAAAUGCGUAGAUAUUAGGAGGAACACCAGUGGCGAAGGCGGUCUGCUGGACAGCAACUGACGCUGAGGCGCGAAAGCGUGGGGAGCAAACAGGAUUAGAUACCCCAGUAGUC